GACAGCAGCUGUGAGUUGACUGGCCACUCUCAUCUUGCCCACCACAAUUUGCCUGCUCCUGUCUCCCAGCCUCCACCUUUUGUGGAACCUCUUCAAUAUUUAGUCUACAAAGCCUCAAAGGGACCCAAGAUGUCAUAUAAUCCCUAAAAGAUAAGGAUAUCAGGGCCAGACAGAGAUGGCCAUGACCGAUGGCCACUGGGAAACAAAGCAGGAAUUUCACAGCCAAGAGGGUAUAGGCUUGAGGAGGGCAAGUCACAGGCAAAAGGUAAAACAGAACCCGACUCUGCUAGUGGGUGUAACAGUCAAAAAUCUGACCCAGCCCAGGCUGGAUCGCUACACUGCCUGCACCCCACCUCUAUCAGCUGCUACAUUCACUCCAGUAGCGACACGCGCGACAGGCCCCAAAAACCUGGGCGCUGUCCCGAGGCGAACCAUGGCAUCCUGUAUAACGAAUGCUCCAAUGUCCUUGCUUUAGUUGGUAAAUGGAUCUGGGUGCUUUCCCUUAAGACUGCUUUAUUAUAAGUGCCUCUAUUUGACACACAGCUAAGUUAGAUUCCUCACCAGUCCUGGGCAGUCCUUGAGCCGACCAAGGGCUUUGAAUUCAGUAAGAAUGUUGCCUAUUCAGUGACAUUCAGAAUUGCCUCUAGUAUAGUAAGAGAGAUAGUGAAAGAAAUCAGACAUUACUAUCUACUACACAGAGUUAGAAAUUUCAGGGCAAGCUACAUCCAUAUGCAGGAAUUUACCAUUAUCUAGGAAGUUUGUGAUCUAAGGAGAAACCAAAGUAGAUACUUACUGAGUUACACCCAUACACAGGAAUUUACAAUGGCGUAGGGGGAAGGUGGACUAUACAACAGACUAGAAUAGGAACUAAGGCAAGGGCACAAAGCCCUAGCCCCUGACUUCUAAGAUAAAGCUGACCUUGGGUGGGGCUGCUUUUGAUCCCAGUGGUUAACUUUGAAUUUUAUUCCAGCUGGUUCCUGACAGUCCUUUGUGUUUGCAUUCCUCUGUUUUGUGUAGGAGUCAUAAAGGUACCUCACUGGUGUGUCAUCUAACUUCCCUAUUUUCUUCUGUAUAAAAAGUUUGAUGCUCUAUUUGACACAUUACAUUCAGAUCCACACUCCCGGUUUGUCCCCCAUUCUCGCCCAUCUGUCCGAGACCCUGAUUCCCAUGGAUUGAGGGGGGCCAACUGGGCCCAGUCCAUGGCAAUCAGCUCCACUGUAUUGAGGAUAAUAGAUCUAUCUCACAUAGUGGCUGGGAGACUAGAUGGGGAGACUAGGUACAGGGCAGAACACACUUCAAGAGAGAUCAGUAACUUUCCACUGUCAUGACAGCUUAUACUGAAUGCAGGCAGACAUCAAUAAUCAACCACAAAAUUUACCCUUGAACUCAAGGAUCCUUCUCUAGGCAGCAUCACCAAUGGAGAAUAGUUAGCCCAUGACAUGUAUGGUUUGAUAUGAAAUGCUCUCCACAGGCUCAUACUUUGAAUGCUCAUCUACAGCUUGGUGAUACUAUUUGGGGAGGCUGUGAAAACUUCAAGAAAUGGGGCCUACCCAAUGGAAACAGGUCACUAGGUCACUAUUUAAGAGGUUAUACAGGUCUUGGUCCUGGUCUUACUCUGCUUCCUUAUGUGCUGUGAUGUGAGGAGCCUCCCCCACACACUCCUGUUGCCACAAACCCUACCAUGCCUUCCCUACCAAGAUGGACCCAAACUGUCCAAGUCAUGAACUAAAAUAUUCCUUUCCUCCAUCAAGUGGUCUAACCAUAGUAAUACAAAGGUAACUAAAAUGGGCUUCCAAUGCAAAGUCAGAACUGGGUCAUGUUGUUAUUUUUCUCAUGAGAGGGCAGUCAGGGUGUGUGCAGUGUCUGCAACUGCCAAGUGCUCAUAAGCUAGACCCAUAUGCCUCCCCACUGUCAUGAGCCCCAUGCUUACCUGGCAAUGUACCUGGCUUCUGAGUGGCGGCAGGCAACAAAAAGGCCCUUGAUAAUGUCCAUCUUCUUGGCCAUGGACUAAACAAAGUAGAGAAUAGGCAAGGAACCAUCAGAGAACAUUUUUCAGCUUUGGAAAAUCUGCCACUGCCAUGAUCAACCACCACAACCUGUUGUAGUGUCUUAAUCUGAGAGCAAUGACAAUGAGCCUCUCUCCCUUUGUCCAACAAGCAUUAACAAGUGUCCUGACACCCAAGAGAUGCUAGGUUCUCCAGAGAAGAACAAAAAGAGACACUGUAAAUUGCACAAGCACAAACGAACACUAAGGUACACAGUCCCCACCACAGGCUUUGUUCUGGGUCUUGGGACAUUUGGAGGUUGGGAUAAGCCACCCUGCUCUACUUACAGCACUGCCAGUGAGCCGGGCAAUGUCACAGAAUUUGGUGAAGACUCCAGAAAUAGUAAGUGGAGGUGGAGGCAGCAUGAGUCUCUGAGUGCUGCGGCUGUUCUCGGCCACCAGCCCCACAUCCCCCUUCUCAGCUACCUCAGCCCGGAUGGACUCCAGCUGACGACCUUAAUAGAUGCAGCAGUGGGGAAGAAAGUAGAAGACGACACUGCAGUAACCUGUCUCUAUUCAUUGGCUGGAUAUUUCUCUAGCUAUCUGGAAUUAGGGGACUUCCCCCUUGUCUACAGAUUGCUUCGUUGCUAGUAAAUGCCUGCUCCCAUUAGGUCAGUGUAAAAAGCCUAAGCAACGGUCAGUCUGAGAAAGACAAGGAGCUGUGUGAGCACAACCAGACUGGGAGUCAUGUAUAGAUAGAACUAAAACCUAUGGGGUGGGAUGGGGCCAAUGGAAGUGGAGAGGGCUGCCUGUUCAAUCCUUAGUUGAUCUCUAAUAGUCCCUCUUGUUUAUUGUGUUUCUAUUGUUCUGCCUUUUAAAAAGUAUGAGUUGUGCCUUGACCUUGCUUAAGUUUGAAAUCAGAAUCCUAAUUUGGAACAAUUAAGGUAAGAGCAGGAGGCUGGCAAGAUGGACAAGCAAGUAGUCAAGAUAACUCAAUGGUUUUCAUCACUCCUCCUCUCCAUCCCACAGCUCUUAUUCCAACACAGGCUGUGCCUCCCCACCCUGUAAUGCCCAGACCUUGAAACUGUGGCCUUGUCAAGUACUCUUCCAUUGGCCUCUUCCUCUACCUUUAUCCCCGGUCCCAAGUUUUUCACAAACUUCAAGUGACCCCUCUCAUUGGAUCCCUACCUGUGGCCUGGGCAACGGCCUUGAGGAGGACACCAUCACCAACACCCAGCUCUAGUCCCUGCUGAGGUGGCCCGAGGCGGUUGAGGCUGAGAUAGAGAACAGGGAGCAAGUCUGGAGGGGACAGGGCCACCACGGAGCGCAGCAGGUUGCUCAAUGUCUCCACCAUCUUGAGCCUGGAAGAAAGGGCCAGGAUAUGUCCACCUAUGUCAAGGUCAGUGAGGUGUUGCAUCCCAGGAAGUUCGAAGGAAAAAUGAAAAGAAGAGAAAGGAGAAGGAUAAAGAGCCAAGGGAACAAUGACAGCUUGUUUGUGGAAGGGUGACUGAAAAAAUGACAAUGAAGAUGAUGCUAAUCACUGACAGAGAACAGCAGCCAUGCACAGACACUUCCUCAAAAAGGCAUUGGCUUUAACCCCUUUCCAUCACUUUAACUGAUGGAUUCAUGCCCACUCUGAGACAGGUGACAUUAUUGUCCCCACUUUACAGGUAAGAAAACAGGCACAGCAAGACUUGCCCAAGGUCAGGAAGCUAAGAAGCAUCAGGCUGAGGGUCAGGCCAAGACUGUCCACUCUAGGACACUCAAGCCACUGAAAAUGAUGGCCAUGUUUCCUGAAAAUGCUGUUUGCCCAACUUACGUGGUCUAAGUAAAGAGCCAUGUGAGCUGGGGAUAUAGUUCAGUUGAUAGAAUGCUUGCACAGCAUAUACAAAUCCCCAUAUAAACUGGGGUGUGGAGACGACAGGCAAUCUAGUACUCAAGAAGUAGAAGCAGAAAGAGCAGUGCAGGGCCAGCGUGAGCUACAUGAGACUGUCUC
rnacentral:lncRNA from 1 species